GACGUAGGGCGCGAGCGUUGUCCGGAUUUAUUGGGCGUAAAGAGCUCGUAGGCGGCUCAUCGCGUCAACCGUGAAAACCAGCAGCUCAACUGUUGGCUUGCGGUUGAUACGGGUGGGCUGGAGUUCGGUAGGGGAGACUGGAAUUCCUGGUGUAGCGGUGAAAUGCGCAGAUAUCAGGAGGAACACCGGUGGCGAAGGCGGGUCUCUGGGCCGAUACUGACGCUGAGACGCGAAAGCGUGGGGAGCGAACAGG
rnacentral:rRNA from 1 species